rnacentral:tRNA from 1 species
UGACGUGUAGCUCAAUGGCGAGAGCAUCCGGCUGUUAACCGGACGGUUGAAGGUUCGAGUCCUUCCUCGUCAGCCA